UAAAGGUUUGGUCCUGGCUUUGCUAUCAACUCCUACUAGAUUUACACAUGCAAGUAUCCGCACACCCGUGAGAAUGCCCUAAUAGUUCCCUAGUAAGGGAACAAGGAGCUGGUAUCAGGCACAAACACUUUUUAGCCCACAACACCUUGCUUAGCCACACCCUCAAGGGAAUUCAGCAGUGAUAAACAUUAAGCCAUAAGUGAAAACUUGACUUAGUUAAAGUUAUUAGGGCCGGUAAAACUCGUGCCAGCCACCGCGGUUAUACGAGAGGCCCAAGUUGAUAGAUUUCGGCGUAAAGCGUGGUUAUGAAACAACUAAUACUAAGACCGAAUACUUUUAGUACUGUUAUACGUAUUCAAAAGUUAGAAGCUCAACUACGAAGGUGGUCUUAACUAGAAUUUGAAGCCACGAAAGCUACGAAACAAACUGGGAUUAGAUACCCCACUAUGCCUAGCCGUAAACAUUGAUAGUUUAAUACAUCUACUAUCCGCCUGGGUACUACAAGCACUAGCUUAAAACCCAAAGGACUUGGCGGUGCUUUAGAUCCACCUAGAGGAGCCUGUUCUAUAACCGAUAAUCCCCGUCCAACCUCACCUUUCCUUGUUUAUCCCGCCUAUAUACCGCCGUCGUCAGCUUACCCUGUGAAGGGCUAAUAGUAAGCAAAAUUGGUACAACCCAAAAUGUCAGGUCGAGGUGUAGCGUAUGGAAAGGGAAGAAAUGGGCUACAUUCCCUUAAUUAAGGGAAUACGAAUUAUGUACUGAAACGUACAUUUGAAGGAGGAUUUAGCAGUAAGUAGGAAAUAGAGUGUUCUACUGAAACUGGCCCUGAAGCGCGCACACACCGCCCGUCACUCUCCCCAAAUUUACCUAAUAUAAUAAUUAAUACAAUUUAACUGCAAAGGGGAGGCAAGUCGUAACAUGGUAAGUGUACCGGAAGGUGCACUUGGAAUAAU
rnacentral:ncRNA from 1 species